rnacentral:rRNA from 1 species
GAUGAACGCUGGCGGCGUGCCUAAUACAUGCAAGUCGAGCGAACAGACGAGGAGCUUGCUCCUCUGACGUUAGCGGCGGACGGGUGAGUAACACGUGGAUAACCUACCUAUAAGACUGGGAUAACUUCGGGAAACCGGAGCUAAUACCGGAUAACAUGUUGAACCGCAUGGUUCAACAGUGAAAGACGGUCUUGCUGUCACUUAUAGAUGGAUCCGCGCCGCAUUAGCCAGUUGGUAAGGUAACGGCUUACCAAGGCAACGAUGCGUAGCCGACCUGAGAGGGUGAUCGGCCACACUGGAACUGAGACACGGUCCAGACUCCUACGGGAGGCAGCAGUAGGGAACCUUCCGCAAUGGGCGAAAGCCUGACGGAGCAACGCCGCGUGAGUGAAGAAGGUCUUCGGAUCGUAAAACUCUGUUAUUAGGGAAGAACAAAUGUGUAAGUAACUAUGCACGUCCUGACGGUACCUAAUCAGAAAGCCACGGCUAACUACGUG